rnacentral:rRNA from 1 species
GUUAAGAAUCAAGCGAUAGGUAAGGGCAUCUGGUGAAUGCCUUGGCAAUCAGAGGCGAAGAAGGACGUGAUACACUGCGAAAAGCCGUGGGGAGCUGUGAAUAGGCAUUGAUCCGCGGAUCUCCGAAUGGGGAAACCCACAGAGUAAUCUGUAUCAAUAUCUGAAUCUAUAGGGUAUUGAAGCGAACGCAGGGAACUGAAACAUCUAAGUACCUGUAGGAAAGGAAAUCAACCGAGACUCCGAGAGUAGUGGCGAGCGAAAUCGGACCAGCCAAUUUGCGAUUAGAUAAGAACCGGAAGUGUCUGGGAAGGCACAUCAUAGAGGGUGAUAGUCCCGUACGGGUAGAAAGUUUAAUUGUAAGAGAGUAGGGCGGAGCACGAGAAAUUCUGUCUGAAGAUAGGUCGACCACGAUCUAAGGCUAAGUACUACUGAUUGACCGAUAGUGAACCAGUACCGUGAGGGAAAGGUGAAAAGCACCCCGACAAGGGGAGUGAAAGAGAACCUGAAACCGGAUGCCUACAAGCAGUCGGAGGGGCAUUAAGCCCUGACGGCGUACCUUUUGUAUAAUGGGUCAGCGAGUUAGUUUAUGUAGCAAGCAUAAGCCGAUAGGUGGAUGCGUAGCGAAAGCGAGUGUUAAUAGCGCGUUAAGUUACAUGAAUUAGACCCGAAACCGAGUGAUCUAGCCAUGAACAGGUUGAAGGUUGGGUAACACCAACUGGAGGACCGAACCCACUCCCGUUGAAAAGGUAGGGGAUGAUUUGUGGCUAGGGGUGAAAGGCCAAUCAAACUCGGAAAUAGCUGGUUCUCCGCGAAAACUAUUUAGGUAGUGCGGUAGGCGAACACCAUGAGGGGUAGAGCACUGAAAGAGCUAAGGGGGAGCGAUCCUUACUAAACUUUAUCAAACUCCGAAUACUCAUGAGUGAUACUUACCAGACAGACAGUAGGUGCUAAGGUCUAUUGUCGAGAGGGAAAGAGCCCAGACCGUCAACUAAGGUCCCUAAAUUAUGGCUAAGUGGUAAAGGAAGUGGGAUAUCCAAAACAGUCAGGAGGUUGGCUUAGAAGCAGCCAUCCUUUAAAGAAAGCGUAAUAGCUCACUGAUCUAAAUAAGACGUCCUGCGCCGAAGAUGUAACGGGGCUAAAGCCAUAUACCGAAGUUACGGGAUUGUAUUGCAAUAGAUACAAUCGGUAGCGGAGCGUUCUGUAGGCCUGCGAAGGUGAACCGUAAGGUUUGCUGGAGGUAUCAGAAGUGAGAAUGCUGACAUGAGUAGCGAAAAGAAGAGUGAGAGACUCUUCCGCUGAAAGUCCAAGGUUUCCUGCGUAAAGCUAAUCUGCGCAGGGUUAGUCGGCCCCUAAGGCGAGGCAGAGAUGCGUAGCUGAUGGGAACACGGUUAAUAUUCCGUGACCAGUUAGGAAGUGACGGAUACAGUAGUUUGUACAUGCUUAAUGGAUUGUGUGUGCAAGUGAUGUGUCCCGGGAAAUAGCCCUAACGAAGACCGUACCCGAAACCGACACAGGUGGACAGGUAGAGUAUACCAAAGCGCUUGAGAGAACUAUGUUGAAGGAACUAGGCAAAAUGCUUGUGUAACUUCGGGAUAAGCAAGCCCGGUUUUAAGGCAACUUAAGGCCGGGGGCACAUACUAGGGGGUAGCGACUGUUUAACAAAAACACAGGACUCUGCGAAAUUGAAAGAUGAAGUAUAGGGUCUGACGCCUGCCCGGUGCCGGAAGGUUAAGGAGAGAUGUGAGAGCAUUGAACUGAAGCCCCGGUAAACGGCGGCCGUAACUAUAACGGUCCUAAGGUAGCGAAAUUCCUUGUCGGGUAAGUUCCGACCUGCACGAAUGGCGUAACGACUUCCCCGCUGUCU